rnacentral:rRNA from 1 species
GUCGACCUCGAGAUCGGGCGAGAUCACCG